UUGUUGUUGUUAUUGAUGGUGAUGAUGAUGAUGAUGAUGAAGAAGAGGAGGAGGAGGGCUUGAUUGAUUGAGGUAGUGAUCAAUGGGGAAGGAGAAGAGAAAGAUAAAGAUAAAGAUAUAGAUAAACAUAGAGAAGAUAGACAGUGAGGCAAUUAAGUGACGUUUUCUAAGCGGCGGAGAGGUUUGUUCAAAAAGGAGCAGAAGCUGGCGAUGUUGGGUUAUGCUGAGGUUGGGUUCAUUGUCUUCUCCGCUUCUAUGUAGCUCUUUGACUACUCCAGCUCAAGCCCGUGUGAGGUCCUUCACAAGUAUAGUAUGCACUUCAAAAGUGCUUCCAAAGAAGAUCUACAAACUCUUGACAACUUUCUUAUCUUUACAAUCAAGCACGUUGAAUGAAAGCCUUCUACAUAAU